CACCCGUUUACCCAGGACCCUGCGAUGCCUCCCCUGACCCCACCCAACACUCUGGCUCAGCUGGAGGAGGCCUGCCGCAGGCUAGCUGAGGUGUCGAAGCCCCCAAAGCAGCGGUGCUGUGUGGCCAGUCAGCAGAGAGAAAGGAACCACUCGGGCACUGUUCAGGCAGGAGCCAUGCCCUUCUCCAACCCAUGUCUGGCUCCAGAAGAUCACAAAGAGCCAAAGAAACUGGCAGGUGUCCACGCCCUCCAGGCCAAUGGGUUGGUCGUCACUUACUUUUUCUGUGGAGAAGAAAUUCCAUACAAGAGGAUGCUGAAGGCUCAGAGCUUGACCCUGGGCCACUUUAAAGAGCAGCUGAGCAAAAAGGGAAAUUACAGGUAUUACUUCAAAAAAGCAAGCGAUGAGUUUGCCUGUGGAGCAGUUUUCGAGGAGGUCUGGGACGACGAGACCGUGCUCCCGAUGUACGAGGGCAGGAUUCUGGGCAAAGUGGAGAGGAUCGAUUGAGCCCUGGGGUCUGGCCUUGGCAAACUGUGGAGCCCAGAGCUCUCGUCUUGGCUGUGAGCGACUGCCACAAAACACAUUGAAGGAAAAUUAAACCAAUGAAGAAGACAAAGUCUAGGGAAGAAUUGGCCAGUGGGCCUUCGGGAGAGUUGGGGGGGAGGGUGAUUUUCAUUAUUCGUGAGCUGGGUACUGAGAUAAGAAAAGCCUGAACUGUUUAUUAAAAACAUGACCACUCUUGGCUAUUGAAGAUGCUGACUGUAUUUGAGAGACUUCCAUACAUAAUAUAUGACUUCCUAGGGAUCUGAAAUCC